CACAACAGUCAUAAGUGUAAAGGGAGUAGAGCAGGGGGCUAAACACACAGUCUUACGGUGCACCUGUGAUGAUGGAGAUUGUGGAGGAGAUAUUACCAAUUCGAACUGACUGAGAUCUGCAAUUGAGGAAAAUGAGGAUUAAAUUGCACAAGAAGGUCUUGAAGCUUAUUGAUUUGUUUUGAUAGGGUGAUGGUAUUAAAUGUUAAGCGGUUGUUGAUAAAGAGCAUCCUGAUAUAUAUACCUUUGCUGUCCAAGUGUUCCAGGGUUGAGUGAAGAGCCAAUCAGAUGUCAUCUUCUAUGGACCUGUUGCUCCGGUUGGCAAACUGGAGUAGAUCCAAUUCACUUCUCAGGCAGGAGUUGAUAUACUUCAUCACCAAACUCUCAAAACACAUCAUGACUGUGGACAUUAGUGCUACUGGACUUAAGGCAGGUUACCACGUUCUUCUUCGACACUGGUGUAAGUGAAGACUGCUUUAAUGAGAGACGGCAAGCAAUGGAACGUCUGAGGAUUAUAAUGAGGAAAAGAAGAGGAAAGCUCUCCCCCUCUUCAAGGGGGCACAGAGAAAGUAGAUCAGAAAUUGACGUGUGCUGAAGCACAGGACAUAAAGAAGCCAGAAAAAUGUGCAGCUGGAACCAAAUGAAAUUGAAUGGAGGUGUAAGACGUGUCAACCACUCGCCACGGAGCAUGCGGUCAGUGAUAUCAUGGGAUAGCCACUCAGUAAAAGAUGCUUAUAAAUCGCUUUUUUCCCCAAGUCAUCCACCACCCUAACUUGGAUAUCCUUUCUUUAUUUCUCACUAAGCCAAACUCCUGGAAUUGUCCAGAUGCAAGUAUUGUAGAAGAAGCUUCAUCACAAAGACUGGAGCAUUUGUAGACAAAUUCCUUCUUAAGAAUACACCUUGAUGAAGAGCUGUCUUACUUGAAGGUUUGGGAGAAGUGUCCAGCUGAGAUUGAGGAAGUUAAUACUCUGAAGAAAAAUCACACAGAAACCUCUACAUUUGGAAGUACUCAAUAGCUCUUUGAGUAUCAGAUCAAAGAUAGCCUUUCUAGCACUGGUCACCUACUGGAAUAUAUGGAGAAGUGACAGUCUGUUCCGAAGAGGAGUCUUGAUCUUGAAGCUGAUGUGUUGGAAGAAGCUGGACUAAAAAUCUUGCUUAGCAAGAGGGGAAUAUGAUGGAUAUUCACUCUUGGCCAGUAGGCCAUUUGGUCAUUUGUUAAUCUUGCUUUCGAAACACAGUGGCAGCC